rnacentral:SRP_RNA from 1 species
AUCUCGCCAGGGCCAGAAGGCAGCAGCAGCAAG